CCUACGGGCGGCUGCAGUAGGGAAUAUUGCGCAAUGGACGGAAGUCUGACGCAGCGACGCCGCGUGAGCGAUGAAGGUCUUCGGAUCGUAAAGCUCUGUCCUUGGGGAAGAAGGCGAAAGCUUGACGGUACCCAAGAAGAAAGCCCCGGCUAACUACGUGCCAGCAGCCGCGGUAAUACGUAGGGGGCGAGCGUUGUCCGGAAUUACUGGGCGUAAAGGGUGCGUAGGCGGUAACUCAAGUCAGUUGUGAAAACCGACGGCUUAACCGGAGGAUUGCAGUUGAUACUGGGUUACUUGAGGCAAGGAGAGGAAGGUGGAAUUCCCGGUGUAGCGGUGAUAUGCGUAGAUAUCGGGAGGAACCCCAGUGGCGAAGGCGGCUCUCUGGACUGCAACUGACGCUGAGGCGCGAAAGCGUGGGGAGCAAACAGGAUUAGAUACCCUUGUAGUCACUC
rnacentral:rRNA from 1 species